CGAGAAAGUGGAGCAUCCAUGAGUAAAGUGGCGACCGGGUGAGUAACACGUGACUACCUACCCUUGAGUGGGGGAUAACCUCGGGAAACCGAGGCUAAUACCGCAUAAUAUCGAAAGAUCAAAGGAGUAAUCCGCUUUUGGAGGGGGUCGCGGCUGAUUAGCUAGUUGGUAGGGUAAUGGCCUACCAAGGCGAAGAUCGGUAUCCGGCCUGAGAGGGCGCACGGACACACUGGAACUGAAACACGGUCCAGACUCCUACGGGAGGCAGCAGUGGGGAAUUUUGCGCAAUGGGGGAAACCCUGACGCAGCAACGCCGCGUGGAGGAUGAAGCCCUUUGGGGUGUAAACUCCUUUCGACCGGGAAAAUUAUGAUGGUACCGGUGGAAGAAGCACCGGCUAACUCCGUGCCAGCAGCCGCGGUAAUACGAGGGGGGCAAGCGUUGUUCGGAUUUAUUGGGCGUAAAGGGUGCGUAGGCGGUUUGGCAAGUCUUGUGUGAAAUCUAUGGGCUCAACCCAUAGUCUGCACAAGAAACCGCCGGGCUUGAGUAUGGGAGAGGUGAGUGGAAUUUCCGGUGUAGCGGUGAAAUGCGUAGAUAUCGGAAGGAACACCUGUGGCGAAAGCGGCUCACUGGACCAUAACUGACGCUGAUGCACGAAAGCUAGGGGAGCAAACAGGAUUAGAUACCCUGGUAG
rnacentral:rRNA from 1 species